GCCGGGAGCGCCUGCCCCGGCAUCGGCGGCACGCUGUACCGCGCGCACGGGGCCAGCUGGCUCAGCUGCGCCCCGCAGGUGCCGCGCGGCGGCUGCGCCUUGGCCGCGCCGCCCAGGGUCACCAGCAGCAGGACCAGGAGGGCCGCCUGGCCCGUGGUCGCCGCCAUCGUCGUCGUCGCCGGCGGCUCGGUGCGCGCGCUGCGAGCUUGAGAGACGGAAAUGAGUUCCUGUGUGUGUGGUUGGCGGUGUGGUGGUGGUGCGGGAGCGCGUGGUUUUAUAGGUGGGGCGACGGAGGUGGGAGGCGGCGAGUCUUGCGUUGCUCACCUACGCUACGCAGGCAGCGGGCGGUGCUCGGAUCGGCGCCGGGCGGGAGGAGCGGGCCACGGCAAGCGUGUGAGGCACUGAGGCUGACCCGACCCAACUAAUAAGCCCAGCUCGGAGACCCGCUUCGUCCGUUUGAUCAUCGGGACAAAAAAACUUGGUUCAACGUAGAGACAUGUUUGGACCGGUGUCCUUUCACUAUCCGCGCCGAUCCAAUCUUUGACGAAUACCAGCAAACAUGUCUGUGUGUUACAGCAGGAGAAAAAAAAAUCAUCCCUAAUAGGCACUGGCCGAUACCAGUAAAUCCCUUGAAAUCUCCACACAACAAACAAUAUGAUAAGUGACGUUGCGUUAAACGUAAUGGUGGAUGAUUUUUGAAGUGUAUUCAAGGUGCUUUAAAAAAAAGUUAUGGACAUAAUUAAAUUUUUUGGAAAUUAACAUUAAGCCACUUGUUUACAUAAAGCUCAAAUCAUCAAUUUAGUGUACAACAUCGUAUAUUGGUUGGUUAUAUUGUGCAUGAUGUGAAAUAGGAUGACCGUGUACCUAUUGUAACCUUUAGCAUACAAAGUAGCUAGUAGAAAUCAACAUCCGCUAUGGUGCCAAUACUAUCUUUUACGAGAGUAUUAAACUAUCGUAUCUAUUCAAGUUAAAUGGAAUAAAAAAAAUAUGUAAUAGGCAUUUUCAAAAUACCCAAUAUAGAGAAGGUAUUAAUCAAGGUUGCAACAUAUAUUUUAUUUUAAAAAUGAGUAACAUGUAAGAUAAGAGUAUAUUUGAAAUCUACAUAUUCUUUUGAACAAUUAUCAUAUAUAACAUGUUAGAUUUGGAAUUAGGGUUUGAAAGAUAUGAAUAUCCUAAAAAGCAUUUGAAUUAGAAAAAAUAGCAUUUGAAUUAGAAAAAAUGAAAAAGGGGUAGCUGUUUUGAUGUGUUUAAUUUGGGACCGCACUGUAUAUAAACCGAAGUAAACGCCCCAUGUAGCAAAUUGAACUGUUUUUUUGUUUAUGAACGAUAUGAUGGGUAAUUUGUGUUAACUUUGGGAUAGUUCUAAUGACGAACUUGGCAGAAACAAUAACCUUUUUAUUAGUACGCAUAGAUGGGCUAGAAUGGGUUUCAAACAAACAGAAACGGACACUCCCGUCGUUUGCUGGUGCUCGCUUGUGUCCACCCUGGUCCCAAAGACCAGCGACCGCACCAGCCGGGGCUUUGCCUCCAUAAUGACGUGCACCGGCGCAUGCCACCUCUCUUUUUGAGUCAGUCGUUGUGUUAGGAUCUUGCCGGCGGGCCCGCGGCGCCGAUGAUUGGCCGAUCGUGGCCGCCAGACGCCACGUCGGGGUCCGACCACACAAGGGGGAGGAGCGGGGCACGACGAUUACCUCGCCAUGGAGGAAGGGGCGGGGCACAUAUAAAGGAUGGACGCGUUGAUGCGGAGGGAGAGGGUCAUGAACUUCGAAAACAUUUUUCUGUGCAAAUAAAUAUUGAAAAGGUACACAAUUUAUGAAAUGCAUGAAUAUUUUAUAAAGUGUGAGCACUUUUAGAAAAUUCUGAAUACUUUGAAAACCAAUCAAUUUUGAUAAAACGAUAACACUUUCUGAAACAUAUAUUUUAAAUCUAGAACAACAAAUUUAAAGUGCGAACAUUCUUUGAAAAUUAAAAAAAUGGUAACAAAAUUUGAAACCUGAGCAAACGUGUAAAGAAAUGUUUUUGACAUCUAAAAAAUAUCACAAGUUUAGAGAAAUGUACAUGGCAUUUCAAAAAAAUGUAUGUAUAAUGUAAAUAAUAUCCGUGUAAUUCUAACAAAUGUUUCUUCCAUUCAAAAAGAUGCAACAUUUCAAGAAUGUUCAAGAGUUUCAAAACAUGUGCUUGUAACAUUUUUAGAAAGAAGUGUAUACAAUGUAAAAAAGUUAGCGUGACGUAAAUAAUGUGUCAUACCCUUAGAAAAUUAUACCCGACAUGUGUUUGAAAUUUUAUAAAUGUGUAACAAUGUAAAAAAAUGUUUGUAUAGUUUUACAAGAUGUCUGUAUAGUUUUAUAAAUGUCUAUCGUCGUUAAGAAAUAAAAAAAUAUAUUUGAAAAAUAUUACUGUGUAUUCAUUUCUUUAAACAUGUAUCUAAAAAGAUAUAAAUAAAGUAUCAAAAAAUAUUUGUGCUAAAAAUUUGCAAUGUGUACUGACAAUAAUUAGACAUGUGUAAAAUAUAUAAUUGGUUACCGUACAGAAACAAAACAAAAGCGAAAAAAAAGAAAACACUAUGAAGAAAAUCAAGAAAGAAACAAAAGAAAUCAAAAGUAUAACGAGAAAGUAAAACCAGAUAAUGCCAGUGAAAAAAUAAAGCAUAACGAACAAAAAAUCAAAGAAAAAAAAGAAAACAAGACCAGCACGAGAGACUGUGCCAAUGGGCUGGCGCAGUUCAGCGAAUACCGGCUAAAUUCUAUCAACGUUUAAAAUAGACCGGGAUCAAGGAUUUUGGUUUGCUGAUUCCAGGAAUUAAGAGUUCAGAGUUUGAUUUAGCUUCGGCCUAUAUAUAUGAAAGGUUUGUUUUGGAUUUUUUUCCUUUUUCUUUUUGCUAUACUCGAGCGGUCUGGUGUUGUGGUGCACGUUGGCUUCUCCUGCCCAGGAAUCACCUCGCCAACAAGAUCCAAAAUGUCCUAAUAAAGAAAAUAAAAUAAAAAGAACAUGUUUCUGUCAAAAUAGGUAGCACUGUUGGGUAAAAAGACGCACGCCUUCGUUGCUCUCGUGAGGCAGGCGAUUGGGGUUUUCGUUGCCUCCCGUCGCAUAGCCGUCGAGCUGCCUUGUCUUCUGUGGCCUUAGGAUCAUGUAGACGCGAUCGAUCUCGGUCCUUGCUGGGGGGGGGGAGGUGUUUCAUUUUUAGAGUUUGUUUGAGUUUUGAUAGGGUUUGUGUCUUGCUCAGAAAGAUGAGGCGGUGCGUGUUUCUUGGAGAUGGAAUAAGUUUUUCCUCAUAUAGCCCCAGAUGAAAUAAGUUUUUCCUCAUAUAGCCCCCACCCGUUCUGAUGAUGCUUCUAGCAUCGCCGGAGGGUGUAUGAAGAUUUAUCUCGGACGGAUCUCAGGAGAUUCAGUCGACGUUUGACUUUGAUGGAUCCGAUCGGAUCCAUUUUUCGUUCGUCUAAGUUGAUGUGUCGGCAGGUUGGAUUUUUGGUGCUUAGUGUUGUUUUCAUACGGGGCGCUCACUAGCAAAGCCAUUGGGCCAGCCCAUGUAAAGCGAACAGUGAUUGAGCUGCCCAAUCUGAUUUUGCGAUUUUUGCACUCAUAUUUUCCCCUGAAUCUAUCAAUCAUUUUUUCAAAUACCACUCAAUUUUUUUCAGAAUCCACAAACUAUUUUUGCAAAUUUGUGAACAGUUUUUAAUCCACGAACUUUUUCCACAAAAAUCAUGAACUUUUUUCAAAUUCGCAAACACUCUCAAAUCAGUGAACUUUUCUUCAAAUUCACGAGAUUUUUCCAGAUCCAUGAGUUAUUUUUUCAAAUUCUCUAAGACUUAUAAAAUAAGUGAACUUUUUUAAAGUUCACUAAUACUUAUCCAAUCAGUGAAGUUUUUCUAACUCAUGAGUUUUUUUUCAAACCACAAUCUUUUUAUGAAUUCGCAACAAUAAAUUCAUGAACACUUUCCAAAUCAGGGAUGGUUAUUUUCAAAAUUCACAAACGUUUUAUGAAUUCACAAGUUUUAUUUUUCAAAUCCAUGAGUUUUUUGGAAUUUGCAAACUUUUAAAAAAGGGGAGUUUCAUAAAAUUCCAUGAACUUUUAAAAAUGCACCAGUUUUUUUGAAGUCCAUGAUAUGUUUUCGAAUCGUAAUCUUUUCAAAUCCAUGAUAUUUUUUCGAAUUCUUGAUUUUUAUCAAACCCAUGAAACUUUUCUCAAUGUCCAUGAACUGUUUUCAAAUUUGCGAACAUUAUUCAAACCUACAAUUUUGUACGAGUUUUGUUUCAAAUACGCGGCGCUCACUAUCCAAGCCUGCAAGGGUGUGUCUAUAACGGGUUGGCCGGUGUUCCUGGUUUUAAAUGGUAUUGUGUGGUUUUUCAUUUUUCUGUCUUUUCUGUGUCUUCUCUACUGUUUUAGUAUAUUUUCUUUGAUUUAUGAUUUUACUCUUUCCAUUAUUUUAUUCUCCUUUUUUUCAUAUCUUAAUUCAUGAAUAUUUAUUCAGUUUAUGAAUAUUGUAAAACAUGAUUUCCAUUUAAAAUUCACAAAAAAGUAAUAUUCGUGAAUUUUCUUUAAAUUCAUGAAUAUUUCUAUAGUUCACAAAACAAUUACAGCCUAUUUAUUUUAAAAAAUUUGAACCUCUGUUAGAAUUCACUAACAUUGUUUGAAGUCCAUGAAUAUUUUAUAGAUGUCUGAACAUCUUAGAAUAAUCAUAGUUAUUCUGUUUUGCAAUAUUUUUUGAAAUUUUGUGAACAUAGUUUUAGUUAAUGAAUUCUUUCAAACCAAAAAAAUAUGGUAAUCAUAUUUUCGGAGCUAGGAGUGUAGUGAGCAGGGAAAAAAAAGCUAAGUGGGUGAGUGAAGCACGUGCCAUGUUGAGCGAGCGAGAGCUACAUUGACUGGCCCAUGUGAGUGUUACUCCCUCCGUUCUUAAAUACAAGUUUUUUAAGAGUUUUUAUUAGGGGUUUACAUACGGAGCAAAAUGAGCGAAUCUAUAUUCUAAAGUAUGUUUAUAUACAUCCGUAUAUAGUCCACUGAUUGAACCUCUAAAAAAAUUUAUAUUUAAAAACGGGGGAGUAUAAUAAUAAUUCCAUGAUUUUAAUACGGAAUAAGAGCUUCCAAGGGGCUUACGCAACACAAUCAUCAUCGGCUGACACCAAGGCCCAAACGUGUAAGGACAACAUUAGCACACAUGUAACAACUACGGUUUCCUCACGGAACAGCUAUAUUCUUCAAUAACAGCCCAACACGUUAUAUUAACGAGAAACACCGGAGGUGGUGUAUUGGAACAUAGGUGUAGAUACACCUCUACACCUACCAUGAAAUAUAUAUGUUAAUAAUACAUUUCAAAAUGUUACAAAAUUGCAAACAAAAAUUUCGCAUGUACAUUCGGACAUUCUGUGUUCGCACACUAAAUUCACAAGGAAAGAACUUUUUGUGGCAUGUAUAAAAGAGAUAAAAAUAAUAUCUCGUGAAUAGUUGUAAUCAAGCAUCGAAAAUUGUCUUUUAUACACAAGCCACAAAAAAUGUCCCUUUUUACCGAAACAUUAUGCAUGAACAUAUAAUGUCCGGAUGUACGCAUUAGAUUUUUUUUCUUUAAUUUUUUAACAUUUUAAAAUGUGUAUAUUUAAACAAUGGAUGGAUAUACAUCUAUGAGCCAAAAUGAACUUAUCGUCCACCAUAACAUAGCUAAAUUCAAGUGAGCGUUGAUAAAACCAAAAUGAAAGAACCAAUCGCAAUAAUUUGCUAAAGAAAAAGGAGUUAAUACCAUGAAUGAAGGACACCACAGCGAAGCGCGCGUUAGCUUCUCAUCACACUGAUACAGAUGAAAUAACUUGUAUAAGAAUUUUACAAGUUUAAAUCUUAGCGACUUUGGUGUUGCCUUACUGCUCUAGCAUAUUUUAUUUCCUAGUUAGUGUACUUGAUUCGGCCUUGAUAUAUGUCAAACUACAGGAAACGAGUGCGGUGCUACAGAAGCGAAUUGAGCACGGGUCCAAGUAUGAAAACUUUGGCAAGCUCUCCUUGUUCAGUACUUUCAAAUCGUUAUUUUAUAUUUUAUCUUACUCCCUCCAUAUCAUAAUAUAAAAAAAAAUUGACACUAUGAUGGUGUCAAAAAGAUAUCUCAUAUUUUGAUACAAAGGGAGUAUCAUCAAGAUGCAUAAAAUAUGUUGACAUAAAUCGUGUGGAAUAACGGUUGGCAAAUAGUUGGGUAGAUGGAGCACUUAAUCCAUUGAUAUAAUUAUUUGGCGGGUACGAGGUGCCCGGGAUGGACAUAUUGGAAGGUGUCUUCCACUUACAUAUGAGCAUCAUAUACGAAUAAAUUCACUCUCACUUUGUAUGCGCAUCCAUACAAAAAUCGUAUCAACUACAUGCUUGCCAAAAAUAAUGUCAAGCAAAGGCCUACUACAUAUCUGGCGAUUUUACUAUCCACAUGGGUACUAGGUUGGGUGAUUAAAUUCCAAACCAAUGCCAGAUAAGUGCAUUAGCAGUACGCUAUUAUAUUUAAGUGUUGGUGGAGUGUCGAGUAUCUUUGCUUGACUCAACGACUAGGUAAUACUCCUUCCGUCCCGAAAUAAGUGUUUUAACUUUAUAUUAAUUUUAAUAUAAAAUUAUACUAAACUUAAAACAUUUAUUUUGGAACAGAGGAAGUACCUAACUGAAUGGAAGUAUAAUGUGCUAAAUGGGGAAAGCUUUGAACUCUGUCUGGGUCUCUUAUAUGACGAGAAUAAGGCCCUGUUUGGAACCAUAAUAGAUUAUGAUAAUAUGGAUUAUGAAGAUAGAUUAUAUAAUCUGGUUUAUAAAAAUAAUCUAAGUGGACAUGUUUGGAGGCCAGAUUAUAUAAACUGUAAUAAAGGUUUUACAUUGCAUAAUGACCCGUCUGCCCUCUGGUUUUUUUUAAAAAAAAAGAGAAGGAUGGCGGUGGUAGGAAUGUAAUUAUUUCCAACUUUAUAAGGGUAAUGGGUCAUUAGCAAUCCAUAAUCUGAUUUUAGCUGGUAUAGAGUAGCUUAUGAGUUUUUAAUAAUCUAUCCAUCUAGUUUUUAUAAUCUACACCAUAAGUUGUCCUGUUUGGAAACAUAAUAGAUUAUAAAAACUGAAUUAUAUAAUCUGGGUGGUUCCAAACAGGGCCUAACAAAAACUAGAGUUUAUGUGGGUAAAGUGAUACAGCCUAGGCACUGCCAAAUAAAAUCAUGCCCACUUCUUGGAUUGGAGGCCACGGGAAUCUAUUGGUGGUUCUAUCAUGUGAUAGAGUGACUAGUGAUUUUCUAGAUUGAACUGAACUUUUUUUUUACAACAACUGUUUAUUUUAAAAGGUGUUAAGCUUAGGUAGGACUUUUUAACUUAUACUCCCUCCUUCUAAGAUAAGUGAUUUAAUUUUGUAUUGAUGAUAGUAAAAUUAGUAUAAAAUUAAAUCAUUUAUUUUAAAACAGAGAAAAUAUACACUAUCAUGAGCGUUGUAAAGCUUCCUGUGUAUAUUGUACUCACCCUCAUUAUUAAUUCCCUCUUUCUUAAAGCCAAUCUUGUAUGAGAUUCCUAAUGGACCAAGUGAGAGAAAGAAUGAUGACGGCUAAAACUACACAACAGCCCUAAAUGUCGAUCCAUUGAGUGAUAUGUACGAUCUGAAUGUCAGAUAGGAGGGUUGGGAAUGAAUAUCAUAGAUAUGAAGCUGUGUACUUCAUGAACCAUCUUAUCAUCAUCUAUUUAGCAGUACUAGUUGAAUUCCAGUAUUGUAAUAUAAAAGCAUCUACAAUCGAAUUUCUCAUACCCGUCUCAGACACUCGAGCAGGCUGUCCGAUCAAUGAUCGGUCACAAAAACAUAAUCUAAUCGGAUCCCUCAUGUCCGUCUCAAACGCCGGGACCGACCGACAUCCUUUAUAUCAAUCUCAAAUACGAGGACGAUAUAAGGGAUAGUGGACACCUUCAAUCAGUGCGCCACAUAGGACGCGACCCCAUUCGAACCAUUUUAUUAUUAUUAUUAAUUCUUUUUUCUCUCUUUUCUUCUUCAUUAAUCACGUGCAAAGUGAUUGGACAUAUAAGAAAUAAUAUGAGAAGUACGACUGCACGAACGAAAAUGUAAGGGCUUAAAACGGACACGCCCGGUCAGCGUCCGCGAACGUUUGAGGGGUCAGAUUUGCCAAGUCUGACUGUAGAUGCUCUAAGAGCAUCUCCAAAGCUUACUGUUAGAGCAUAUAUCUUCAUAUGUGAUUUUGGUAAUUGAUGACAAUUCCUAUGGACUAAUGGUUGCCUUAAGUUAUAUUUAUAGGAUUUGUCCAUAGGCACUUCUUGAAGUCCAUCUGUUGGGUUCAAGGAGUUUAUAUGAUGACCAAGGUGGUAUUCAAGGUAUUAUCCAAAGAAUGGUCAUAGAGACACAAGGUUGAUCAAGAUCUCAGACAAAGAGUAAAUCAAGAUGAUCAACACACAAAGCGUACAAGAUGUACCGAGAAGGAUCAAGUGAUCCCAUGGUAUGGUAAGCAUUGUCCAUUACGUGUUUGUGUACUAACCCAUGGUCUUCGUGAGAGUUCUAUAUGGGGGUUAGGUGUGUUUCCAUGGGCUUGCGUCAAAGAGAAGAUCUCAUACAACCCAUGAAGUAUGACGUCAAGUUGUGAUCGACAUCAAGAUUGCGAUGUGCAAGUUCAAGUGGAUCAGCACAAAGAUAUCAUGCUUGAAGCUUGCUGUCCAUUGACAAAGAGUAAAUUAAGAUGAUCGACACACAAAGCGUACAAGAUGUACCGAGAGGGAUCAAGUGAUCCCAUGGUAUGGUAAGCAUUGUCCAUUACGUGUUUGUGUACUAACCGAUGGUCUUCGUGAGAGUUCUAUGUGGGGGUUAGGUGUGUUUCCAUGGGCUUGCGUCAAAGAGAAGAUAUCAUACAACCCAUGAAGUACGACGUCAAGUUGUGAUCGUCAUCAAGAUUGCGAUGUGCAAGUUCAAGUGGAUCAGCACGAAGAUAUCAUACUUGAAGCUUGCUGUCCAUUGUGGUGGUAAUGGACUUGUGAAGAUAUGCUGAAGAGUGGCUCAUCCAUAGUGAGUAUGGGGGAGCAAUCAACUAGUCUUCAUCAAGCCAACGCAAUCAAGAAAGGUGGUCCAUCUUGAGGAAGCCAAGAUCAUCAUCAUCUACCUCAAGAGGACGAGGUGCAAGGUAUAGGUUUGCCCUUGAUAGGUUUUCUGGUUAGGAUAGAUUGCUGUACUAUCAAGGGGGGCUCUCAAGUGAGUAGUUUGAUCGUAUCGUUCGUUGAGAGCUCAAACCAUUUGCAUCCUUGCAUCAUACUUCUUGGUUCUUGUUUGGUGUUUCUCUUUGUGAGUUUUAGAGCUUAUGGUCAUCUUCGUGACAAGCUCGAGUUCAUCGAAAACGGAGUCCAUAUGCAUCUACUAUGAUGUUUUCGAUGUUGGAGUUUUUGUCGGUUCUUCAUUCAUAGAGAUCUCACAUCUCUAUAUCAUUGGCAUUUUCAUAUCUGCAUGGUCUUAAGAUUUCGACAUGGCUGUUUGGAUAGCUCUUGUCGUCCUGAAUCCAACAAGCUUGGGUUUGCUCGAUUCAGAGCUCGUAUGCGAAAGUUAUGGUUGUUUCAGUGUCGAGCGAUAGUACCGCUGGACCUAGCGGUAGUACCGCUAGAGUUGGCGGUAGUACCGCUGGCCCUAGCGGUAGUACCGCCCCUGGUCAGCGGUAGUACCGCUCCAGGAGCUUAGUACCGCCUGCUUAGCGGUUGUUCGUGGACGGACCUUUUUGCGAAGACUUUCUUGGCGGUGGUAGUGCCUUUGCACUACCAGGGCCCAACGGUAGUACCGCUGGAGUGCCAGCGGUAGUACCGCUGGAGCUCGGGCAGAGAGUGGGGGUAACGGUCUGAUUCCUUCCCCCACUAUAUAAAGGGGGUCUUCUUCCCCCUUGGCCUUAUCCAUCCGUUGAGCUCUUGUUCUACCUCCAUUAUUGACAUUCUUAGAGCUUGCUUACUCUCAAUCCCUCCAAUGAUUCUUGCUUGUUCUUGAGGGAAAAGAGAGAGGAGAUCUAGAUCCACAUCUCCACCAAUCACUUUCUCCUCUAUGUGAGGGGAACCCAUUGGAUCUUGAUCUUGGAGUUCUUUGUGAGCUCCUUGUUCUUCCUCUCAUAUUUCUCCAUAGCUUUCGUUGUUGUGGAGGGAUUUGAGUGUGAGGGACUUGACCACAUCGUGUGUUCUUGCCAUUGCAUUAGUUGCAUCGGUUUGAGUUCUCCACGGUGAUACGUGGAAGUGAAGUUUGAGAAGCUUAUUACCUUUGGUACUUAGUACCCUAGAUAUUGUUCUUCGCGGAUGAUUUGGAGUCCUAGAAGCUUGGUGGUGUCUUGGAGCUCAAUCAUUGUGGUGUGAAGCUCCGGGCAAGCGUUGGGGUCUCCAAUUAGGUUGUGGAGAUUGCCCCGAGCAAUUUGUACGGGUACCGGUAACCGCCCCCAAGGGUUGCCACGUGUACGGGUUCGGUGACCGCCCCCAAGGUUUGCCAUUUGUACGGGUUCGGUGACCGCCCUCAAGGGUCCCUUAGUGGAAUCACGGCAUCUUGCAUUGUGCGAGGGCGUGAGAAGAUUACGGUGGCCUUACUAGCAUCUUGGGGAGCAUUGUGCCUCCACACCGCUCUAACGGAGAUUAGCAUCCGCAAGGGUGUGAACUUCGGGAUACAUCAUCGUCUCCCCGUGCCUCGGUUAUCUCUUACCCGAACCCUUUACUUAUGCACUUUACUUUGUGACAGACAUAUUGUUUAUUGUAAUAUAUCUUGCUAUCACUUAGUUGUUUAUCUUGCUUAGCAUAAGUUGUUGGUGCACAUAGGUGAGCCUAGUUGUUUGUAGGUUUUGUGCUUGACAUAUUAAACGUUAGUUUUAUUCCGCAUUUGUUCAAGCCUAAACCUUAAUUAUUUUAAAGCGCCUAUUCACCCCCCCUCUAGGCGACAUCCACGUCCUUUCACUUACCCGUAAACUGGAUGCUGCAUCCGUCCGUGGACAAGGUGACUAGUCCAUGAACACGGAUAUGGGAGGCAGUUAUCCAAAGCUAGUCACUAUAUGCCCGCCAAUAAAGCACAGUUUGAAAUUCAAAUACGUCCGAACAUACCAUGCGUCGAAUCACGCCAACACCGGAUCACAUCAUCGGUCGAUCACAACCAAGACAAGCAUGCUUAGUUUUUACAUGUCGUGGUCGUGAAAGAGUAUUAUACGACAAUUCUUCAAUUAUAGUCUCCAUGCCCAAUCCGCCGUCGCCACUGUGGAGGCCGCCUUUGUCCCAGCAGUGACAUCGACAAUGUAGGGCACUUGCCUGGUCGCGGAUGUCCAGGACAUCCUACCCAUCUUCUUGGCGGCGUAGUAGUCAGUAGCCUUGUAAUGCCCUGGCCAUGGCGGCGUCCACAAGGUCGGCGAGGGCGACAUGGCACAAUCUCAACGUUCACGACCAGCAUGCCCACCGACACGUCUGCCACCACCACACCUCCGUUGGCCUUCUGCUUCUUGAGUGUCUCCCCCUUUGUGGCGUUCGCUUUGACACGAUGAUUUUGCCGUGUCGUCGAAGUUGAUCUUCCGUGCGAGCGUGUAGCUUGGAUCCUCCACCACCAUCAUCUCUGACAGGGUCUCCUCUGGCUCCAUGCACCGACGAUGACAAGGAGGGAAGAAGAGAUUGCGGAAAAAUGGCUCGAACUGGGUGAAGAGCAGCUGGAGGGAAGAAGAGAGCGAAGGAUUCUUCUGCAGAAACAGUGAGGCUAGCUUGAAAAGCGCAGACUCCGUCUGAGUUCGACGUUGGAUGGCUCGCGGGUCCAGACAACUGAGUCGAGAUGGAUACAAGUGGUUUGAGGGUCUUUGUUAGAGAUGUCCUAAAUGACUAUAUAUGUAGUUAUUUUCCUGUUGCAAAUUCGUGACAUGGAUUAUUAUUUGAUAAAAAUGAAUUCUGUUAAGAAAUAAUUCAAGGACUAGUGUAAUUAUCUAAAUUAGUAAUGACACGGGUCGUCACAACACUCCUCGACAAACGGCAAAAUUAACGAAUUUGACUCAUGGACGAAAGUAUUUCACAAACUGGACCACGUUCAAAAAAAUUCAUUCAGGUGAUCCUUCUAUGUGGCGCUCGACAGUGAGAUGCUUUAGGCGUCACACUGUUUUGUGUGGUGCCUAUGACUUAGACGCCACACAACCUAGUGUUAGGCGUCACAAAUUGCAGUGUGUCGUCUAAGCCAAAUAUGUCAAAAAAAAGUCAAACGGGUAAAAUCUUUUCAAACGCGGUUCAAUUUAUAAAAUACUUUCGUUUUUUGUGUCAAAAUUUUCCAUUUUGCCCCCACCAUCACGUCCGUCGGCACCACACCCUUGGCUGGCGUUUUGCUUCUUGAGCGUUUCCGUCUUUGCGGCCUUCGCUUUGAUGCGACAAUCUUUCCGUGUCGGUGAGUUGAUCCUCCGGGCGAGCAAUUAUACAUGUCACGAGUAAACAAUAGCAAUGGCGUGGGACCAGUGUUUUGAGAUCUCAAGGGGAGAUUUGGGAGCUGUGGUGGCUUCCUCCUUUCGGGCAGCCAUGACAUGACCCCCUGCUCAGCACUCUCCAAGUCGACGAUGCGACCUUGGAUCUGCUGCCAUCCUUUGCGAUGUUCGAAGCGGCCCUUUCAGGCAUCGGAUUUCAAAGUCCUAGGAGCGGCAGUCGUAUGCUGCUUCCGUUCCUCGCCAGCAUCCUCAAAGACACGCGCACGUUUUCGCCCUCGUUAACAAGUUGUUGAAGCUGGUUCCGUACGUCGUUGGCAGUGAAAACUCAGCUCCUGGUCCUAAGGUACAGUUCCUAGCCCUACUUGGGAACUGUGCCGUGGAAAUGAAAAAUGCAAGGCGUGGCUGCCUGCAAAACGCCGGGCAGUUCGCCGCCCUAGCAAAAAGGCGACGUACCAUGUUGUCCAAGCAAUCAAAAUCAGGUCACCCUCCCUUUACUGCUGCCGGCGUCAGUGUCAGCUAGCCAGAUAGUGAAUUCAGAACACACAUGGACAGGGAGUACUUGCUUUCAAUCAAAGAAAAGAACAUGGAGAAGUACUACGUACGUGCUCAACUGAUUAAUGUUGAAGUCGAUCGAACUUUCACCGGUAGGAGGAAUAAUGCACCGUGGUAUUACUACUCAGAAUUACACUCACCAGCCAUGCAAUUAAUUAACCUGCAUUUUCCAACAGAUUAGGAUAGUACUAGUAACUUGUAUGAGCCGCCUCAGAAAAAUACUAUGCAAGCACUGCUCAUGCAUGUAUAUUCAGCACACUGGUAUUAUCGCUUGAAACAAAACAAAACAAGACAAAACAAGACAAAAAAUCUCAUUGUCCUCACUCCACGUGCAUCGAGAUCUCUCUUACUUAUGAGCCACACAAUAGAAAUGCAAGAUAUCUUGCCAAAGUACUAGUAAUAGAAAUAUAGCAGAUAAUUACAACAUAUAGGAGUAGUUUGCAUGAUACAGGUUCCACUCGUUCGUGAUCAACUACCAGCAAACAUGGAGGUAGAACCACCGCUAACAAUUUUCCCCGAUCUAGUCGAUCGUGAACGCUCGGUAAUUACUGGAUCCGACGCCAUUGCCUGCAAUGGUGUAUGGCAUGCAUGACCGCCCUUCAGGCUUCAGCAUGCAUGUGUGUCUUGAUCAAGGCAGGUGUGUGCAGUCCUAGCACGCUGGAGGUCUGGAGGUCGAUAAAAUGGGUAAUGGGUAAUGAUCAGUUCUGAGGGCAGAAGGGCGUGCCGGGCUUCUCCCUGUGGCUGGGGAUGACGAAGUGCCGGAUCCUGCCGACCUGCUCGGCGAGGUAGGCUUCGCAGAGGAAGGCCUUGGAGAAGCUGUCCUCCACCGCCCGGUCCACGUCGUGCACGAACACGUCCGUGGCGCCGUCGCCGGGCCGCCGCGCGCGGGCCGCCAUGCCGGCCGUGUAGAUGGCGCCCAUCCUCCCGGGCGCCUCGGGCGUCCACCCCGUGGGCGCGUCCACCAUGAUGAGGUCCCACUCGGUCUCGUGGAACACGGCGGGGAGGCCGCGCAGCGCCAGCCGGCACGAGGCCUCGGCGGCGGCGGCGAGGUCCGGCUGCGCGGUGCACCCCGGGUGGUCGCGCAGGGCGAUGAGGUCGUCGGCCUCGGUGAGGCGGGUGUCGUAGGUCACGUGGUACGACUCGAGGCCCGGGUGCGCGGCGCGGACGGAGGCGAUCCAGGACGCGUCCUCCUCGAGGAACACAGUGCGGCCGCCGUGGUUGAGCGCCGCCCACAUGGGGCUGUCGUGCCCGAGGCCGAACACCAGGAAGUUGCACGGCGAGCGGCGCUGCAGCACGCGCAGCGACACCCCGAUCUCCGCCGCCGUCUGCUGCGGCGUCACGUUCGACGUCGCGUAGUGCACCAGGGCCUCGGCCACGGCCCCCGGCAGCUUCGAGCACGACCCGUCGCCAUCGCUCUCGCCGCCGCGCAGCCGCGAGGCGUGGGAGGAGGAGGAGGAGAAGAGCGUGCGGGCGGAGAAGAGGAGGAGGAAGGCGGCGAGGGCGGCGACGAGGAGGAGGCGGUGGCCGAGGAAGCCGUGCAGCUUGGCCUUCAUGGAGGCGAGGUGGAGGGCCUGCUUGCGGGCGUGCGUGGGGCUCGACAUGGACGCUCGUCGGUUCUUCUUGUCUUGGGUGGCGAGGGGUUUAUAGGCGAAGAGGAUCGAUGCUUGAAGGAAGGGGAGGCGAUGGAGGGAAGGAAGGAAGAAGAGAUUGGUAAUGGAGGAGGAGGGGCGGAUGGGAUUGUGAUGAUGGGGUUGGGUUGGGUUGGGUGACGAGGACACGAGACCUGCAAAGUUUGGUGUAGGGUUGGCUUUCGGAUGGACGGGUGGAUGGAUGCUUUGGGUUGUGGGGCGCCCUUUUCGGUUGAGAGGACGGCAGGCGUUGAUGCAAAGGAAUGGGCCGAAUGUCGACUGUAUUUCCUUUUUCUUUUCUUUUUCUCUUGAUGAUAUACAUAGUGCUGAUUAUUGUGUUUUAAAUACGAAGUAGACGUCGUGAGGGAGAUGUCGGCCACGGUAUUAUCUUCAACAGUUUAGACUGAAUUUUUUUGAAACGUUUAUAUUGAUAUUACUAUCAUAUAUACUCCCUCCGUUCCUAAAUAUAAGACCUUUUAAAAGUUUCAUUAUGAACAACAUACGGAUGUAUAUAGACACAUUUUAGAACAUAGAUUGACUCAUUUUGCUUUGUAUGUAGUCCAUAGUGAAAUGUCUAAAAGGUCUUAUAUUUAAGAAUGAAGGGAGUAAGCAAUAGCAUAUUGUUGUCUUGACAUAUUUGCGAGAAGGCCGAUAGGACGACACAAAAACGAGAAUUUCAUCCAACAACAUAAUUCGUUAUCUGCAGGAAAAAAAUUGACCCGGGUUGACACAUUUAUAGAUGCAAGCGCUCAUAUAAAUGCACAUACAGUUAAUCAAUAAACAUACACACGUACAUCCUAUCUCAUGAAUAUUUUUAAAAGAUUGAGCCAACAUAUCAUCCUGAGAUUUACAUAGUCAUUCUAGACGUCUCGUUAUCGACGAAAACGUUUCACUGAAUACGUAGCCGAAAAUUCUAAAAUAAAUUCAGAAAAGAUGCGAGCAUCUGUACUUGAACCCGACGGACUCAGGGUACCACUAUUCAUCUAGCCAUCCAACAAUGGAUUGGUUCACACUUUUCCUAUUCAAUGUUAUUGUUGCAUCUAUGAGAGUUCAUCGGUGUUUUAUUCAGACGGCUAAUUAUUGUGUUUUAAAUACGAAGUAGACGUCGUGAGGGAUGGAGUAGGCCACAAUAUUAUCAAUAAUAUAUAUUGAUUUCUAUUCUGUGAAAUGUUUAAACUGAUACUACCAUCACAAGCAAUGACUUAUCAUUGUCUCGACGCAUUUGCGAGAAGUCUGAUAGGAUGAUAGAGAAUUUUGUUCAACGACAACCUUUGUUAUCUGCAGGAAAAACUAAUGAUGUAGUUUGACACUUGGUGGGCAUUCCUGUUCAAUGUUGUUGUUAACGGCAUGGAUCCGCAAAAGCUCACUAGUGACUUGCUAGACCGGCCAUUAAAUCCAACGUGGUCAACAAGGUGAUGGUAGAGACACCUGGCUUAAGGGCGGCGCCGGGAUGGAGUGGAUGCGGCCACAGGCAAGGCGGUAAGGAGGAUGUCAUUUUACAUAUUGACACGAUUUUAAUACAUGGUCUUGAGCCCAUCUUGCAUCCUAAGACUUAUAGAAGCAUGACGUGGUAAACUGAUGCUCUUGUACAAAGCAUUGAUUUUUGCAACAACAACAGCAAAACUACAUUUUCAGCAGAAAACAAAAAUUAGGCAAGAAGCAAGUAAAUUUUGAGCCAUUUCCAAUGAUGAUGUUAUGCGGAACACCAUAUUUUUAGAUGAUGUUUCUGAUGAACCUAGUGAAGUUCUCGCACCAGCCUUCACUAUAGGAUUUGCCUCUAUCCACUACGACAAUAGGAUCAGCGAAGCCCCCAUCGAGCAUUGUCCGAUCUCAUUUGAUAUGGCGGUUGACAUCGACAAUGGGUGUUUCGAACCAUAUCACUAAUGAGACACAUGCACGCAGCUUGUGGCGGAAAUUGAAGGAGUUGUUCACACACCUUUGACAAGAUAAACAAAUUGUGAAGACAUAACUACUUCUUCUACAAUUGUUUUGGUGUGAAUUUCAUGUAUUACCCCCUGGUAUUCUAGGUUGGACAAUGGUUAUCCAAAAGUCCAGCCGAUUUUCAUUGCCACGCCUUUUUUUGUAUCUUAUGUGUGUAAGGUUUCUCAUGAGUUGGAGUCAUAAGUCUGGAGAAACACAAUGGUAGAGUCAAAGAACCACUAUGGGAAAAGCUUUCUAUGUCAAGCGUUAGGUACUUUGGCAAGUGAAUUUUAUUGAGCACUCAACAAACAAGGCCUUUGUCGAGUGCCUAAAGAAAACACUUGACAGAAAAAUCAUACUUGACGAACAUCACCAUUGUCGAAUACCAUCCAAAAAAAGAGUUGGUGAAAACGUUGCACUAGGCACAAAUUGAGCCUGGCACUUGGCAAAGACCAAGCACAUGAAAAACACAGUGACACGUGUCCGUGGACACCGUCGUUGAUGGACAAGUGACAAUGUUGCCACUAGAGGUUGCAGUACACAUUUGAGAAUGUCACGCAAAAGUUGUCACACAUACUACUUAUAAACCGAACCAUCUCCAAGGAAGGAACUAUGUUUUGACAAGGAAAGAGAGCAGGUUUGCAUGCAAAGAGAUCGUUGAUUUAUCCAUUGACCUUCAAAAGAUUAUACACUCAAGAUACACCACUACAUGUUCCAUGUCAAAAUUUGGCAUAUUCCUGCUGGAAAAUGUAGUAGAAAAAAAAUCAGGACUAUUUAUAGAAUCAAGAAUCACUAUGAAGAUGCAAAGAGAUUUAGAUUUGAACUUUACCAAUAAAAGUCAGCUGAGAGGAGAUGUUGGUGCAGACUAGACGCAGAUUCCUGACGCUAUGAUUAAACCUCACAACAAUAGUAACAAAGGUGCAGCAAGAUGGCCCAAUCCCUUUUGUAGCAAGGGACAAGCCUGGACAAACUCUUAUAUGAGGUGAAGCGCUCCCGAGGACACAUGGAAUUUCUGUCAAGCUAGUUUUCAUCAUGUUCAUAUGAUUCGCGUUCGCUACUUUGUGUUGGGGAACGUCGCAUGGGAAACAAAAAUUUUCCUACGCGCACGAAGACCUAUCAUGGUGAUGUCCAUCUACGAGAGGGGAUGAGUGAUCUACGUACCCUCGUAGAUCGUACAGCAGAAGCGUUAGAGAACGCGAUUGAUGUAGUGGAACGUCCUCACGUCCCUCGAUCCGCACCGCGAACAAUCCCGCGAUCAGUCCCACGAUCUAGUACCGAACGGACGGCACCUCCGCGUUCAGCACACGUACAGCUCGACGAUGAUCUCGGCCUUCUUGAUCCAGCAAGAGAGACGGAGAGGUAGAAGAGUUCUCCGGCAGCGUGACGGCGCUCCGGAGGUUGGUGAUGAUCUCGUCUCAGCAGGGCUCCGCCCGAGCUCCGCAGAAACGCGAUCUAGAGGAAAAACUAUGGAGGUAUGUGGUCGGGCAGCCGUGAGAAAGUCGUCUCAAAUCUGCCCUAAAAGCUCCAUAUAUAUAGGAGGAGGGAGGGGGACCUUGCCUUGGGGUCCAAGGGAUCCCCAAGGGGUCGGCCGAGCCAGGGGGGAGGACUCUCCCCCCCCAAACCGAGUCCUACUUGGUUUGGUGGGAGGGAGUCCUUCCCCCUUCCCACUUCUUCCUUUUUUUUCUUUCCUUUGAUUUUUCUUCCUUGGCGCAUAGGGGAUUGGUGGUCUGUCCCACCAGCCCACUAAGGGCUGGUGUGACCCCCCAAAUACCUAUGGGCUUCCCCGGAGUGGGUUGCCCCCCUCCGGUGAACUCCCGGAACCCAUUCGUCAUUCCCGGUACAUUCCCGGUAACUCCGAAAACCUUCCGGUAAUCAAAUGAGGUCAUCCUAUAUAUCAAUCUUCGUUUCCGGACUAUUCCGGAAACCCUCGUGACGUCCGUGAUCUCAUCCGGGACUCCGAAAAACAUUCGGUAACCAACCAUAUAACUCAAAUACGCAUAAAACAACGUCGAACCUUAAGUGUGCAGACCCUGCGGGUUCGAGAACUAUGUAGACAUGACCCGAGAGACUCCUCGGUCAAUAUCCAAUAGCGGGACCUGGAUGCCCAUAUUGGAUCCUACAUAUUCUACGAAGAUCUUAUCGUUUGAACCUCAGUGCCAAGGAUUCGUAUAAUCCCGUAUGUCAUUCCCUUUGUCCUUCGGUAUGUUACUUGCCCGAGAUUCGAUCGUCAGUAUCCGUAUACCUAUUUCAACCUCGUUUACCGGCAAGUCUCUUUACUCGUUCCGUAAUACAAGAUCCCGCAACUUACACUAAGUUACAUUGCUUGCAAGGCUUGUGUGUGAUGUUGUAUUACCGAGUGGGCCCCGAGAUACCUCUCCGUCACACGGAGUGACAAAUCCCAGUCUUGAUCCAUACUAACUCAACUAACACCUUCGGAGAUACCUGUAGAGCAUCUUUAUAGUCACCCAGUUACGUUGCGACAUUUGAUACACACAAAGCAUUCCUCCGGUGUCAGUGAGUUAUAUGAUCUCAUGGUCAUAGGAAUAAAUACUUGACACGCAGAAAACAGUAGCAACAAAAUGACACGAUCAACAUGCUACGUCUAUUAGUUUGGGUCUAGUCCAUCACGUGAUUCUCCCAAUGACGUGAUCCAGUUAUCAAGCAACAACACCUUGUUCAUAAUCAGAAGACACUGACUAUCAUCGAUCAACUGGCUAGCCAACUAGAGGCAUGCCAGGGACGGUGUUUUGUCUAUGUAUCCACACAUGUAAAUGAGUCUUCAUUCAAUACAAUUAUAGCAUGGAUAAUAAACUAUUAUCUUGAUACAGGAAUUAUAAUAAUAACUAUACAUUUAUUAUUGCCUCUAGGGCAUAAUUCCAACACUUUGAUAUUUUGAUAUGUGGGUGGACCGGUGCUUGGGUGCUGCCCUUACUUGGACAAACAUCCCACUUAUGAUUAACCCCUCUCACAAGCAUCCACAACUACGAAAGAAGAAUUAAGACUAAGCCUAACCAUAACAUUAAACUAGUGGAUCCAAAUCAGCCCCUUACGAAGCAACGCAUAAACUAGGGUUUAAGCUUCUGUCACUCUAGCAACCCAUCAUCUACUUAUUACUUCCUAAUGCCUUCCUCUAGGCCCAAAUAAUGGUGAAGUGUCAUGCAGUCGACAUUCACAUAACACCACUAGAGGAAAGACAACAUACAUCGCAUCAAAAUAUCAAACGAAUACCAAAUUCACAUGACUACUUAUAGCAAGACUUAUCCCAUGUCCCGAGGAACAAAAGUGACUACUCACAAAGCAUAAUGAUGUUCAUGACCAGAGAGGUAUUGAAUAGCAUUAAGGAUAUGAACAUAUGAUCUUUCACCGAGUAAUCCAACUAGCAUCAACUACAAAGAGUAAUUAACACUACUAGCAACCUUACAAGUACCAAUCGGAGUCGCGAGACGGAGAUUGGUUACAAGAGAUGAACUAGGGUUUGGAGAUGAGAUGGUGUUGAUGAAGAUGUUGAUGGAGAUGAGUCCCCUCCAAUGAGAGGAGCGUUGGUGAUGACGAUGACGACGAUUUCCCCCUCCGGGAGGGAAGUUUCCCCGACAGGACGGCCCUGCCGGAGCUCUAGAUUGGUUCUGCUCAAGUUCCGCCUCGUGGUGGCGGCGUCUCUUUCAGAAAGCCUCCUCCUGAUUUUUUCUCGGACAAAACCCUACUUAUAGGAAAAGAUGGGAGCCGGAAGGGGUAGCGGGGGGCCCACAAGCCACCCAGGCGCGACCAGGGGGUAGGCCGCGCCUGGCAGGCUUGUGGCCUCCUGGUGGCUCCCCUCUGGUACUUCUUCCGCCCAAUAUUUUUUAUAAAAUCCAAAAUAAUUCCUCGUUGAUUUUUACGGCUUUUGGAGUUGCGCGGAAUAGGUAUCUCAAACUUGCACUUUUUCAGACCAGAAUUCUAGCUGCCGGCAUUCUCCCUCUUCAUGUAAACCUUAUAAAUUAAGAGAGAAAAGGCAUAAGUAUUGCACCGUAAUGUGUAAUAACAGCCCAUAAAAGCGAUAAAUGUCAACAUAAAAGCAUGAUGCAAAAUGGACGUAUCAACUCCCCUAGGCUUAGACCUCGCUUGUCCUCAAGUGGAAGACGAGAUCAAUAAAUAUGCCCACAUGUUUAGAGAUAGAGGUGUUGAUAAAACAACAUACGGACAUGCAGGCAUCAUGAUCAUAUUUAGAACAACAAUAUCGUCAUAUAAUCUCUUAUGCUAAAGUGAUAAUUCCUUCACAAAGUAAAGUAUGGAUCAAGAACCUUAUUGAGAAUUAACAACCAAUAGCUUUUAGUCAUUGAAGCAAUUGCAAUUUAUCAUAACAUCGAAAAGAGUCAAAUAAGAGCCUGUAAAGCAAAUCCACAUACUCAAUCAUCCUUUCGUCUUCUAUAAUUGCUAAAACUCACGUGGUACUCAUGAGAUCAAAGUUUCAGUUGGACACAGAGAAAGAUAGGGGCUUAUAGUUUCGCCUCCCAACUAUUUACCUCAAGGGUAAUGUCAACAAUAAUAAUUCGUGAAUACUAAUUUCCAAGUUGACAUAUGAAUAUAGAUCUUUCCCUAGCACAUGACAUUAGCCAAGAUAAUGGCGAAAUAAGGAAUUGAUGUUGAUCACCACGACUCUUUUAAGGAAAAAAGUUAAGAUACAAGAUAGGCCCUUCGCAGAGGGAAGCAGAGGUUGUCAUGCUUUUGAGGUUUGGAUGUGUGACCUCUUAGUGUGAAGGAACGCCACUUUAUAUUGCCUCCUGUGAUAAAGAACUUUAUUAUGCAGUCUGUCGCUUUUAUGUCUUCCUUAUCAGAGGUCCAUACAAAGCUUAUUUUCCACACACUAAUAGAUCAUACAUAUUUAGGGAGCAACUUUUAUUGCUUGCACCAAUGACAACUUACUUGAGGGAUCUUAUUCAAUCCAUAGGUAGGUAUGGUGGACUCUCAUGGCAAAACUGGGUUGAAGGUUUAUGGAUGCACAAGUAGUAUCUCUACCUAGUGCGGAAGUUUUGGCUGAUAUGAGGUGGAAGCAAUCGUCAUGUGCUAAGGGAUCUCUAGUCAUAUAACAUUGUUCGGAACCAAGCAAACAUAAUUCAUUAUGUUGUCUUCCUUGUUCAACAUCUACUUCUAAGCAUGUAAUAGUUUAAUGAGUGUUCACAAUCAUAGAUAGUGCCCAAGAUGAUAUAUUUAUAUGUGAACCUCUCCUUCUUUAUUACUUCCUAUUAAUUGCAACAAUGACCAAGGUUUACGUUUGUCCACCCACAACAAGUUCCAAUCAACAUUCUUUUUAUAUGUGAAGCCAUCGCUUCCCAUAAGAUCAUUACAUGAUAUUUCAUGCUUUUGUUCUUUUAUUAUUAUUUUCUUUAGAUCAUGGCAUGAAGCAAGGCCCUUAACUAAAACACUCUUUAUUAUAUGACUCACGAACUCAAAUACAUUGGGGGUGACACAAAGCAAAACUCAAGCCUAGAUCACUAAGAACUUUAUUCUACUAGAGAAAGAUAAAACCGAAAAGGAUCGAACUAAGAAAAAGGUAAAGGCAAAAGAUGUGAUGGUGAUACGAUACCGGGGCAACUUGCCCAAGCUUGGCACAAGCCAAGAGGAGUGCCCAUACCCGUGCUUAUUUGUCUUCCUUCAAAGGUGAUGGUGGUGGAGUUGUUGCAAUCUGGGGUUGAUUCUCCGUCUUCCAAGGCAUAGGUGCUCCAUCAUGGAAAGAUGAUCGAGUCUCCGGAAUCCUCAAAUCUGCAGCCAACCGUAUUGAUUUAAAUCUAUACUCAUACUCAUAGUUUUGGUUCUGUAGGUCGUAGAUCUGGGCUUGGAGGUGAUCAAUUCUGUCAUAAAGCCUAGAGAGGUGCUUCACAAUAUCAUUGACAUCAAUCUUGUGCUUGUUGGUGAACUCUGUCGUCAUCAUGUGGUUGGCGUUAAGUCCGCGUUCCACCAUCCCUUGGCACUUGAAGACUUGCUGCUCCAUUGCUUCAAGCCUCGCCUCCAUGCUUCGGGUAUUCUUGGGCCCCUCAACAUCACGGAUGUGCAACACCCCCUCAUGCAUCUCGAUAGAUUGAGGGUGUUGUAGCACUCCUGCGAGGUAGGGAUUGAUGACCUUCUCGAAGAACUUGUCCUUCGGAACUUUUGGGGACGCCAUAGAGAUCUAGAUCUGUGUGCACAGAAGCUCGAAACGAAAACAGAGGAUAUUUGCGUGAUACGAGGGUAACACCUUUCGGGAGAAUAUAUAAUGAAUUUUCCCGACAAAAAGGAGUAUUCCACAAGAAAACGGAGUCCGGGAGGCACACGAGGUGCCCACAAGCCACCCAGGCGCGGCCAGGGGGUAGGCCGUGCCUGGCAGGCUUGUCGCCUCCUCGUGCGGUUUUCGGACUACUUUAAAUUUUUCUAUUUUUCUAAAAAUUCCAAAACGGAGAAAAAUUGCUACUGGAAAAGUUUUGGAGUCGGUUUACUUACCGAAUCACAUACCUCUUCGUUUUUAGAGUCUGAAACAGGCUGAUAAAUAUCCCUUAUGUACUCCUCCGGAGUUAUGGUAUUGAUAAUAUUGCUUUCAACAUUUAUGAGAGUACCUGAGAUAUAAUGCUUGAUUCUUUGCCCAUUUACAACUCUCGGAAAAUUACCUUCCGUGUUGUUGAUCUUUAUGGCACCGGAACGAUAUAAUUUCUCAACAAUGUAAGGACCUUCUCAUUUAGAGAGAAGCUUGCGUGCAAAAAAUCUUAAACGAGAAUUGUAUAGCAAGACAUAAUCACCUACAUUGAACUCACGUUUUUGUAUCCUUUUAUCAUGCCACCUCUUAAUUUUUCUUUAAACAACUUGGCAUUUUCAUAUGCGUGAGUUCUCCAUUCAUCAAGUGAGCUAAUAUCAAAUAACCUCUUCUCACCAGCAAGUUUGAAAUCAAAGUUGAGCUCUUUGAUUGCCCAAUAAGCCUUAUGCUCUAGCUCAAGAGGUAAAUGCCAUGCUUUACUAUAAACCAUUUUGUACGGAGACAUGCCCAUGGGAUUCUUAUAAGCAGUUCUAUAAGCCCACAGUGCAUCAUCAAGCUUCUUAGACCAAUUCUUUCUAGACCUAUUAACAGUCUUUUGCAGAAUUAAUUUAAUUUCUCUAUUACUUAGCUCUACUUGACCACUGGACUGAGGAUGAUAGGGAUAUGCAAUUCUAUGGUUGACGUCAUACUUAGCAAGCGUUUUACGAAAAACACCAUGAAUAAAAUGUGAACCACCAUCAGUCAUCACAUAUCUAGGGACUCCAAAUCUAGGGAAAAUAACUUCUUCAAGCAUCCUAAUAGAGGUGUUGUGAUCAACACUACUAGUUGGGAUAGCUUCUACCCACUUAGUAACGUAAUCAACAGCAACUAGAAUAUGAGUAUACCUGUUAGACUUUGGAAAAGGUCCCAUAUAAUCAAAACCCCAAACAUCAAAUGGUUCAAUAACAAGUGAAUAAUUCAUAGGCAUUUCCUGACGUUUACUGAUAUUACCUAUUCUUUGACAUUCACGACAAGACAAGACAAACUUACGAGCAUCCUUGAAGAGAGUAGGCCAAUAGAAACCGGAUUGCAAUACCUUGUGUGCAGUUCUAUCUCCCACAUGGUGUCCUCCGUAAGCCUCGGAGUGACACUUCUGUAGGAUCUGUCCCUGUUCAUGCUCAGGUACACAACGUCUAAUAACACCAUCUACUCCUUCUUUAUAAAGGUGAGGAUCAUCCCAAAAUUAAUGUCUCAAGUCAAAGAAGAAUUUCUUCUUUUGUUGGUAUGUGAAACUAGGUGGUAUAUAUUUGGCAACAAUAUAAUUUUCAUAACCAGCAUACCAAGGUGUACUACGUGAAGCAUUGAUGACAUUCAGUUGUUCAUCUGGAAAGCUAUCACCAAUAGGUUGUGGGUCAUCAAGAACAUUCUCCAACCUAGACAAGUUAUCUUCUACGGGGUUCUCAACACCCUUCCUAUCAACAACAUGCAAAUCAAAUUCUUGUAGCAAGAGAACCCAUCUGAUAAGUCUAGGUUUAGCAUCUUUCUUUUCCAUGAGAUACUUAAUAGCAGCAUGAUCAGUGUGAAUAGUAACUUUGGAAUCAACAAUGUAAGAUCUGAACUUUUCACAUGCAAACACGACUGCUAAAAAUUCCUUUUCAGUAGUAGCAUAGUUUCUUUGGGCACUGUCUAGAGUUUUACUAGCAUAAUAAAUAACAUUCAAUUUCUUAUAAAUUCUUUAUCCUAGAACAACACCAACAACAUAAUCACUAGCAUCACACAUAAUUUGAAAAGGUAGGUUCCAAUCAGGUGGUUGAACAAUAGGUGCAGUUAUCAAGGCCUUCUUAAGUAUUUCAAAUGCUUCCUCACAAUCAUCGUCAAAAACAAAAGGAAUAUCUUUUUGCAAGAAAUUGGUAAGAGGCCUAGAAAUCUUAGAGAAGUCCUUAAUGAACCUUCUAUAGAAACCAGCAUGACCAAGGAAACUUCUUAUACCUUUAAUGUCUGUAGGGCAUGGCAUUUUCUUGAUCGCAUCAACUUUAGCCUUAUCAACUGAUACGUCUCCAACGUAUCUAUAAUUUUUGAUGGUUUCAUGCUAUUAUCUUGUCAAACUUUGGAUGUUUUGCAUGCCUUUUGUAUAUAUUUUUGGGACUAACUUAUUAACUCAGUGUCAAGUGCGAGUUCGUAUUUUUUCCAUGUUUUUGACCCCUUUCAGAGGAGGAUUUUGAACGGAGUCCAAAUGAAACGAAACUGCCAAAAAGAUUUUUUCCGAAACAGAAAAAGAUCGGGAAGCCUGAGAAUCAGGGCACGGGGCCUGCAGGGACCCCACAAGCCCCCUAGCCGCGGCCAGGGGGGCCCGCGCCUCCCUGGCUUGUGGGCUCCCUGGGCCACCUCUGCCCUAGGGCUUUCGCCCAUAAAUUCCCUAAAAUCCCAGAAAAAUCAGGAGAUCAUCGAAAGUACUUUUCCGCCGCCGCAAGCUUCUGUCUCCGCAAGAUCCUAUCUACGGCACAUUCUGGUGCCCUGUUGGAGGGGUGAUUCGGAUACGGAGGGCUUCUUCAUCAACACAAUGACUCCGAUGAUGUGUGAGUAGUUCACCAUAGACCUACGAGUCCAUAGCUAGUAUAUAGAUGGCUUCUUCUUUCUCUUGGAUCUUCAAUACAAAGUUCUCCAUGAUCUUCAUGGAGAUCUAUCCGAUGUAAUCUUCUUUUGCGGUGUGAUUGUCGAGAUCCGAUGAAUUGUGGAUUUAUGAUCAGAUUAUCUAUGAAUCUUAUUUGAGUUUCUUCUGGUCUCUCUUAUGCAUGAUUUCAUAUCCUUGUAAUUCUCUUCGAGUUGUGGGUUUUGUCUAGCCAACUAGAUCUAUGGUUCUUGCAAUGGGAGAAGUGCUUGGUUUUGGGUUCAUACCGUGCGGUGACUGUUGGGGAACGUCGCAUGGGAAACAAAAAAUUUCCUACGCACACGAAGACCUAUCAUGGUGAUGUCCAUCUACGAGAGGGGAUAUUCGAUCUACAUACCCUUGUAGAUCGCACAGCAGAAGCGUUAGUGAACACGGUUGAUGUAGUGGAACGUCCUCACAUCCCUCGAUCCGCCCCGCGAACCGUCCCGCGAUCAGUCCCACAAUCUAGUGCCAAACGGACGGCACCUCCGCGUUCAGCACACGUACAGCUCGACGAUGAUCUCGGCCUUCUUGAUCCAGCAAGAGAGACGGAGAGGUAGAUGAGUUCUCCGGCAGCGUGACGGCGCUCCGGAGGUUGGUGGUGAUCUUAUCUCAGCAGGGCUCCGCCCGAGCUCCGCAGAAACGCGAGCUAGAGGUAAAACCGUGGAGAUAUGUGGUCGGGCUGCCGUGGCAAAGUUGUCUCAAAUCAGCCCUAAAACCUCCGUAUAUACAGGGGGAAGAGGGGGAGACUUGCCUUGGGGUCCAAGGACCCCCAGGGGGUUCGGCCGAGCCAAAGGGGGUAACCCUCCCCUUCCAAACCGAGUCCAACUAGGUUUGGAAGGAGGAGUCCUUCCCCCUUUUCCCACCUCCUCUUUUUUUUUCUCUUUGAUUUUCUUCCUAUGGCGCAUAGGGCCUUCUUGGGCUGUCCCACCAGCCCACUAAGGGCUGGUGCGCCACCCCCAAGGCCUAUGGGCUUCCCCGGGGUGGGUUGCCCCCCCCCCCCGGUGAACACCCGGAACCCAUUCGUCAUUCUCGGUACAUUCCCGGUAACUGCGAAAUCCUUCUGGUAAUCAAAUGAGGUCAUCCUAUAUAUCAAUCUUCGUUUCCGGACCAUUCCGUAAACCCUCGUGACGUCCGUGAUCUCAUCCGGGACUCCGAAGAACAUUCGGUAACCAACCAUAUAACUCAAAUACGCAUAAAACAACGUCGAACCUUAAGUGUGCAGACCCCGCGGGUUCGAGAACUAUGUAGACAUGACCCGAGAGACUCCUCGGUCAAUAUCCAAUAGCGGGACCUGGAUGCCCAUAUUGGAUCCUACAUAUUCUACGAAGAUCUUAUCAUUUGAACCUCAGUGCCAAGGAUUCAUAUAAUCCCGUAUGUCAUUCCCUUUGUCCUUCGGUAUGUUACUUGCCCGAGAUUCGAUCGUCAGUAUCCGCAUACCUAUUUCAAUCUCGUUUACCGGCAAGUCUCUUUACUCGUUCCGUAAUACAAGAUCCCGCAACUUACACUAAGUCACAUUGCUUGCAAGGCUUGUGUGUGAUGUUGUAUUAUCGAGUGGGCCCCGAGAUACCUCUUCGUCACAUGGAGUGACAAAUCCCAGUCUUGAUCCAUACUAACUCAACGAACACCUUCGGAGAUACCUGUAGAGCAUCUUUAUAGUCACCCAGUUAUGUUGCGACGUUUGAUACACACAAAGCACUCCUCCGGUGUGAGUGAGUUAUAUGAUCUCAUGGUCAUAGGAACAAAUACUUGACACGUAGAUAACAGUAGCAACUAAAUGACACGAUCAACAUGGUACGUCUAUUAGUUUGGGUCUAGUCCAUCACAUGAUUCUCCUAAUGAUGUGAUCCCGUUAUCAAGUGACAACACUUGCCUAUGGUCAGGAAACCUUGACCAUCUUUGAUCAAUGAGCUAGUCAACUAGAGGCUUUACUAGGGACAGUGUUUUGUCUAUGUAUCCACACAUGCACUGUGUUUCCAAUCAAUACAAUUAUAGCAUAGAUAAUAAACGAUUAUCAUGAACUAAGAAAUAUAAUAAUAACUAAUUUAUUAUUGCCUCUAGGGCAUAUUUCCAACAGUCUCCCACUUGCACUAGAGUCAAUAAUCUAGUUCACAUCACCAUGUGAUUCCAACGAAUCCAACACCCAUAUAGUUAUGGGGUCUGAUCACGUCUUGCUCGUGAGAGAGGUUUCAGUCAACGGUUCUGAAACUUUCAGAUCCGUGUGUUCUUUACAAAUCUUUAUGUCAUCUUAUAGAUGCUGCUACUAUGUGCUAUUCGGAAAUGCUCCAAAUAUCUACUCUACUAUACGAAUCCGUUUCACUACUCAUAGUUAUUCGGAUUAGUGUCAAAGCUUGCAUCGACGUAACCCUUUACGACGAACUCUUUAACCACCUCCAUAAUCGAGAAAAAUUCCUUAGUCUAUUCAGUUACUAAGGAUAACUUUGACCGCUGAUCAGUGAUUCAAUCCUGGAUCACUAUGUGUACCUCUUAACAGACUUGCUGCAAGGCACACAGUCAGGUGCGGUACUCAGCAUGGCAUACUUUAGAGUCUACGGCUAAGGCAUAGAAGGCGACCUUCGUCUAUUCUCUUUAUUCUGCCGAGGUCGGGUUUUGAGUCUUACUCAAAUUUACGCCUUACAACGCAACCAAGAACUCCUUCUUUGUUGAUCUAUUUUGAACUCCUUCAAAAACUUGUCAAGGCAUGCACCUUGUUGAAACUUCUAUUAAGCGCUUUCGAUCUAUCUCCAUAGAUCUUUGAUGCUCAACGUUCAAGUAGCUCAACCCAGAUAUUCCUUUGAAAAACUCCUUUCAAACAACCUUUUAUGCUUCACAGAAAUUCUACAUUACUUCUGAUCCAUAAUAUGUCAACCACAUAUGCUUAUCAGAAAUUCUAUAGUGCUCCCACUCACUUCUUUGGAAAUACAAGUUUCUCAUAAACCUUGUACAAACCCAAAAUCUUUGAUCAUCUCAUCAAAGUGUAUAUUCCAACUCCGAGAUGCUUGCACCAGUCCAUUGAAGGAUCACUGGAGCUUGCAUACUAGCUAGUAUCUUUAGGAUCGACAAAACCUCCUGGUUGUAUCACAUACAAUGUUUGCUCAAGGAAACCGUCGAGGAAACAAUGUUUUGACAUCCUACGUGCAAUAUUUCAUAAAUAAUGCAGCAACUACUAACAUAAUUCUAAUAGACUUUUAGCAUCACUACGAGUGACAAAGUCUCAUCAUAGUCAACUGUUUGAACUUGUCGGAAACAUCUUUGCGACAAGUCGAGCUUUUCUUAAUAGUGACUUAUCACCAUCAUCGUCUGUCUUCCUUUUAAAGAUCCAUCUUUACUCAAUAGUCCUAUGACCAUCAAGUAGUUCUUCCAAAGUCAACACUUUGUUUUCAUACAUGGAUCCUCUCUCGGAUUUCAUGGCUUCCAGCCAUUUGUCGGAAUCCGGGCCCACCAUUGCUUUCUCCAUAACUUGUAGGUUCAUUGUUGCUCAACAACAUGACCUCCAAGACAGGGUUACCGUACCACUCUGCAGUAGUACGCGACCUUGUCAACCUACGAGGCUUGUAGUAACUUGAUCCGAUGCUCGAUGAUCACCAUCAUCAGCUUUCACUUCAAUUGGUGUAGGCGCCACGGGAACAACUUCCUGCGCCCUGCUACACACUGGUCGAAGUGAUAGUUCAAUAACCUCAUCAAGUUCUACCACCCUCCCACUCAAUUCUUUCGAGAGAAACCUUUCCUCGAGAAAGGAUCCGUUUCUAGAAACAAACACUUUGCUUUCGGAUCUGAGAUAGGAGAUGUACCCAACUGUUUUGGAUAUCCUAUGAAGAUGCAUUUAUCCGCUUUUGGGUUCGAGCUUAUCAGACUGAAACUUUUUCACAUAAGUGUCGAAGCCCCAAACUUUCAAGAAACGACAGUUUAGAUUUCUCUAAACCUCAGUCUAUACUAUGUCAUCUCAACGGAAAUAUGCGGUGCCCUAUUUAAAGUGAAUGCAGUUGUCUCUAAUGCAUAACCCAUAAACGAUAGUGGUAAUUCGAUAAGAGACAUCACAACAUGCACCAUACCAAAUAGUGCGUGGCUAUGACGUUCAGACACAUCAUCACACUAUGAUGUUCCAGGUGGCAUGAACUGCGAAACAAUUUCCACAUUGUCUUAACUGCGUACCAAAACUCGUAACUCAGAUAUUCAUUUCUAUGAUCAUAUCGUAGACAGUUUAUCCUCUUGUUACGACGAACUUCACUCCGAAACAGAAUUGAACUUUUCAAUAUUUCAGACUUGUGAUUCAUUAAGUAAAUACUCUUGUAUCUGCUCAAAUCGUCAUUGAAGUAAGAACAUAAUGAUAUCCACUGCGCGCCUCAGCACCCAUUGGACUGCAUACAUCAAAAUGUAUCACUUCCAACAAGUUACUAUCUUGUUUCAUCUCAAUGAAAACAAGGCCUUGCUCAUGUGGUAUGAUUUGCAUGUCACUAGUGAUUCAAAAUCAAGUGAGUAUAAAGAUCCAUCAGCAUGGAGCCUCUUCAUGCAAUUUAUACCAACAUGACUCAAGCGGCAGUGCCACAAGUAAGUAGUACUAUCAUCAUUACCUCGUAUCUUUUGGCACCAAUAUCAUGAACAUGUGUAACACUACGAUCGAGAUUCAAUAAACCAUUGAAGGUGAUUAUUCAAGCAAAUAGAGUAACCAUUAUUCUCUUUAAAUGAAUAACCGUAUUGCAAUAAACACGAUCCAAUAAUGUUCAUGCUUAACGCAAGCACCAAAUAACAAUUAUUUCGGUUUAACACCAAUUCCGAUGGUAGAGGGAGCGUGCGACGUUUUGAUCAUAUCAAUCUUGGAAACACUUCCAACACGCAUCGUCACCUCGCCUUUAGCUAGUCUCCGUUUAUGCCGUAGCUAUCAUUUCGUGUUACUAAUAACUUAGCAACCGAACCGGUAUCCAAUACCCUCAUGCUACUAGGAGUACUUGUAAAGUACACAUCAACAUCAUGUAUAUCAAAUAUACUUCUUUUGACUUUUGCCAGCCUUCUUAUCUACCAAGUAUCUAGAGUUGCUCCCCCUCAGUGACUAUUCCCCUCAUUACAGAAGCACUUAGUCUCGGGUUUGGGUUUAAUUUUGGGUCUCUUCAUUAGUGCAGCAACUGUUUUGCCGUUUCACGAAGUAUCCCUUCUAGCCGUUGCCUUUCUUGAAACUUAGUGGUUUUACUAACCAUCAACUAUUGAUGCUCCUUCUUGAUUUCUACUUUCGCAGUGUCAAACAUCGUGAAUCGCUCAAGGAUCAUUGUAUCUAUCCUUGAUAUGUUAUAGUUCAUCACGAAGCUCUCACAGCUUGGUGGCAGUGACUUUGGAGAACCAUCACUAUCUCAUCUGGAAGAUUAACUCCCACUUGAUUCAAGCGAUUGUCGU
rnacentral:lncRNA from 1 species